AUCAACAUGAACGAGCAGAAAGCGAGAAAUGGAAAGAGUCUGUCAGCACCCACUCAGUGUUAAUUCCUCAUCAUUCAACUCCAACAGAAACACCACAGCAGCUCCGGUCAGACACGGCAAGAAAAAGACAUCAAGACACCAAAAAGCAUCUGCUACGCCCAUAGUUAGUGUCUGCAAGGUGGCAUGCUGCCAGAUCUCACAGCUGCCAGAGAGAGAGACAUAG
ensembl:lncRNA